GUGUCAGCAGCCGCGGUAAUACGAGGGGUGCAAGCGUUAUUCGGAAUCAUUGGGCGUAAAGGGUGCGUAGGCGGUAUAUUAAGUCAGCUGUUAAAUUUCCCGGCCUAACCGGGAGUAUGCGGUCGAUACUGAUGUACUAGAGGGUGGAAGAGAGAAGUGGAAUUCUCGGAGUAGCGGUAAAAUGCGUAGAUCUCGAGAGGAACACCGAUGGCGAAGGCAGCUUCUUGGUCCACAUCUGACGCUGAGUGCACGAAAGCGUGUGGAGCAAACAGGAUUAGAUACCCUGGUAGUCC
rnacentral:rRNA from 1 species